rnacentral:rRNA from 1 species
CAGCAGCCGCGGUAAUACGUAGGUGGCAAGCGCUGUCCGGAAUUAUUGGGCGUAAAGGGCUCGCAGGCGGUUUCUUAAGUCUGAUGUGAAAGCCCCCGGCUCAACCGGGGAGGGUCAUUGGAAACUGGGAAACUUGAGUGCAGAAGAGGAGAGUGGAAUUCCACGUGUAGCGGUGAAAUGCGUAGAGAUGUGGAGGAACACCAGUGGCGAAGGCGACUCUCUGGUCUGUAACUGACGCUGAGGAGCGAAAGCGUGGGGAGCGAACAGGAUUAGAUACCCCGGUAGUCCCUGUCUCUUAUAC